AAGUUUUUCUUAUAAUUUUUUUCUAUUUGAAUACAUCUUAUUUCAAAAGAGAAUUCUUGCUUUUUAAUUUUGGAUACAGUGUAGGCUAAAUCCAACACUGUGGCAUCUUGACUACGGUGGCCUGCUCAAUUAAUUCUGAACAGUAAAUUGCCUUUUACAGGUCUUCAGGUAGCUGGGUAAGAAGCGGCAAGGCAAACAAAGGGUCCUGGUAAUUGAAAACAACUGGUAAGGAUUGUUUUUCUUUUCUUUCAUGUUCUUCCUAAUUGAUGUGCUGAUUUGUAUAUGAACCUACAGAUGAGUCAAACCUAAGCAUUCGGCAUUGGGAGCACUGUCACUAAAACUGCAGCCUCAUUCAACAACACAUCCUUAUCGAGCACUUGCAGGUACUCCAUUGAAUGUUAGAAAUGCAUUGAUGAUGGAGACACAGCACCGGCUCAUGAGGACCUUCCAGCCUAGGCAGCAGGACUGGACAUACGCACUUUGGUAGAUUUAUUUUUAGAAAUUGGCUUAUGCAAGUGUGGGGCUGGCAAGUCUAACAACUGCAGGGCAGGUCAGGAGGCUGGAGACCCAGGGAAGAGUUGAUGCUGCAGUCUCUAGUCUGAAGGCAGUGCAGAGGCAGAAUUCCCUCUUUCUCGGAGGAUCUCAGGCUUUUUCUCCUAAGUCCUUCAACCAAGUGGAUGAGGCCACCCGCAUUAGAGAAGGGAAAGCUAGCUGAUAUGUUAUGAGGACAUUUGAGCAGCCCCAUGGAGAAGUCCACGUGGAAGGAACUGAGGCCUCUUGCUACCGUUAUGUGAGUGAGCCAUCUUGGAAGCAGAUCCUCCAGCCUGGUUGAUCCUUUGGAUGACUGCAGCCCCAGGUGCCAUCUUGACUACAACAUCAGGAAAGAUUCCAAAUUAGACUCCCCCAUCCCAGGCCUGGCCCAGAGAAAGAGAUGAAAGCUGACACGCAGCUCUCAGAAUCACCCUUGCUAUCAGGUUUGGCUUCUGGAGCUGAUGGGAAUCUGAGAGACGUCAGGGUAGAAGCCGCCUGUCUUGGUGAGCUUCCCGUGCUCAUCUGGCUUUGGGAAAGACUCUCAGCCUCAUUUGCUUAUCCUCCAUCACGGACCAAGCACUUGGUUUGGGAAUAAGGGGCCCUUGGCACUUACUGUUGUGUUCUUGGCCUUUGGGGCCUUGGCCAAGAGUCAGGUGGAAAGAGUUCCACCCUAACAUCUUCUCCUAUGCUUCCUCCCAGAGCAGGGGAUGGGAAAGUAUGGGGAGAAAAAGGCUCCUUAGGGAAUUACUUCAUGUUAAAAAAUAUUUACUAGGCACUUAACACGUACGCAGAAAUUUACCAGUGGCUGAAGUGGGUAAUAGGGAUGUAUCAAUUAACUAAUAAACUAAUUAAUUAGACAAAUGUAUUAGACAUUGACUGUGGGUCAGGCACUGUGCUGAGCAUUGGGGAUAUAGCAAUUAAAAAAAAAAAGCCAUGGCCAGGCACGGUGGCUCACACCUGUAAUCCCAGCACUUUGGGAGGCCAAGGCGGGCAGAUACCUGAGGUCAGGAAUUUGAGACCAGCCUGGCCACCAUGGUGAUACCCUGUCUCUACUAAAAUACACAAAAGAAUUAGCUGGGCAUGGUGGCAUGCACCUGUAAUCCCAGCUACUCAGGAAGCUGAGGCACGAGAAUCGUUUGAACCUGGGAGGUGGAGUUUGCAGUGAGCCAAGAUGGUGCCACUGCACUCCAGCCUGGGUAACAGGGUGAUACC
rnacentral:lncRNA from 1 species